AGUGAACGCUGGCGGUAGGCCUAACACAUGCAAGUCGAACGGCAGCACAGUAAGAGCUUGCUCUUACGGGUGGCGAGUGGCGGACGGGUGAGGAAUACAUCGGAAUCUACUUUUUCGUGGGGGAUAACGUCGGGAAACUUACGCUAAUACCGCAUACGACCUACGGGUGAAAGCAGGGGAUCUUCGGACCUUUCGCGAUUGAAUGAGCCGAUGUCGGAUUAGCUAGUUGGCGGGGUAAAGGCCCACCAAGGCGACGAUCCGUAGCUGGUCUGAGAGGAUGAUCAGCCACACUGGAACUGAGACACGGUCCAGACUCCUACGGGAGGCAGCAGUGGGGAAUAUUGGACAAUGGGCGCAAGCCUGAUCCAGCAAUACCGCGUGGGUGAAGAAGGCCUUCGGGUUGUAAAGCCCUUUUGUUGGGAAAGAAAAGCAGCAGGUUAAUACCCCGCUGUUCUGACGGUACCCAAAGAAUAAGCACCGGCUAACUUCGUG
rnacentral:rRNA from 1 species